rnacentral:rRNA from 1 species
UGGGGAAUUUUGGACAAUGGGGGAAACCCUGAUCUAGCCAUCCCGCGUGUGCGAUGAAGGCCUUCGGGUUGUAAAGCACUUUUGGCAGGAAAGAAACGUCAUGUGUUAACACCCCGUGAAACUGACGGUUCCUUCAGAAUAAGCACCGGCUAACUACGUGCCAGCAGCCGCGGUAAUACGUAGGGUGCAAGCGUUAAUCGGAAUUACUGGGCGUAAAGCGUGCGCAGGCGGUUCGGAAAGAAAGAUGUGAAAUCCCAGAGCUCAACUUUGGAACUGCAUUUUUAACUACCGGGCUAGGGUGUGUCAGAGGGAGGUGGAAUUCCGCGUGUAGCGGUGAAAUGCGUAGAUAUGCGGAGGAACACCGAUGGCGAAGGCAGCCUCCUGGGAUAACACUGACGCUCAUGCACGAAAGCGUGGGGAGCAAACAGG